CAGAGAGCUGGGAGAGAGAGAGGUUCGAGGAAGGAAACAUGAUGCUGGUGUGGGUUUUGGUGCUGACCGCACUGCUUGCCAGUGAUGUGGCAGGGACGACUGACUCCUUGGGACCGGAGGAGACCCGACUAGACCAUGAAAAACGCGACAUAGUCAAAGGACCGUGUGCUGAAAACUGGUUUCAUUUUCCUCCCUUAAAAACCUGUUACCGUUUUUUCUCUGACGCAAAGACAUGGUCAGAUGCUGAGGUAAGUUCUUGAAACCAGUGGUUGUUCUAGGAGGCCUGGGGAAC